UGGAAGGUGUGGAUUUGAGCAGAGACCAUGGGAACCAGCUCCCUACUACUGCUGCUCUUCCUCUUUAAUGGGGCUGAUGGUUCUUAUAUUGUUGGAGGCCUCGCUGCAAGUCCGAGGACGCCACAAUUGUGGGGGGGGGCCCUGGUGAGAGGGGACUUUGUGCUCACAGCAGCACAUUGUGAGAUACCCAUGGCCUAUUGACGUCACUAAGUCCAAAUGGACCAAUUGCCACACAGCUAUAGAACAAUAGGCACACCCUCUGUAGAGUGCAGGCUCUACAGAGGCUACCGGAGCGGACAGUGUGAGGUGGAUUUCCCGCUGUGUUUCCCUGGAUGCUGGAUAUAGACCAAGUGCCAUGCCAGUGGACACCGCGGUGCUCAGGCUGAGCUCUGCGGUGUCCGCUGGCAUGGCAUGCAGACCCCACGCAGCAACCACGAAACAACACCAGUAAUCCACCUCACACUGUCCGCUCCUCGAGCC